rnacentral:rRNA from 1 species
GACGAACGCUGGCGGCGUGCUUAACACAUGCAAGUCGAACGGAAAGGGCCUGCCGUUUUCUGGUGUCCGUCUUGGUGACGGGCGAGUGAGUCACGCGUAACCUACCCGUGCUUUUGGGGGAAAUUACAGUAACUGGCGACUACUCCUGCCGCAUACUCCUUCUGCUCGGCGUGGGGUGGAAAGGUUCGGCGGUUGGGGUUGGUCGCGUGGCUCUGAAGCUGGUUGGUGGGGUAGGGGAUUACCAAGGCUGUGACGGGUAGCCGGCCUGAGAGGGUGACAGGCCACAGUGGGACUGAGAUAGGGGCCAGACUCCUACGGGAGGAAGCAGUGGGGAAUAUUGCACAAUGGGCGGAAGCCUGAUGCAGCAACGCCGCGUGCGGGAUGACGGCCUUCGGGUUGGAAACCGCUUCCGGCUGUGACGAAGCGUGAGUGACGGUAAUGGGUAAAGAAGCACCGGCUAACUACGUG